UAGGGAAUCUUCGUCAAUGGGGGGAACCCUGACCGAGCAACGCCGCGUGAGUGAAGAAGGUUUUCGGAUCGUAAAGCUCUGUUGUUAAGGAAGAACGAGUGUGAGAAUGGAAAGUUCAUACUGUGACGGUACUUAACCAGAAAGGGACGGCUAACUACGUGCCAGCAGCCGCGGUAAUACGUAGGUCCCGAGCGUUGUCCGGAUUUAUUGGGCGUAAAGCGAGCGCAGGCGGUUAGAUAAGUCUGAAGUUAAAGGCAGUGGCUCAACCAUUGUAGGCUUUGGAAACUGUUUAACUUGAGUGCAGAAGGGGAGAGUGGAAUUCCAUGUGUAGCGGUGAAAUGCGUAGAUAUAUGGAGGAACACCGGUGGCGAAAGCGGCUCUCUGGUCUGUAACUGACGCUGAGGCUCGAAAGCGUGGGGAGCGAACAGG
rnacentral:rRNA from 1 species